rnacentral:rRNA from 1 species
CAAACUUGAGAGUUUGAUCCUGGCUCAGAACGAACGCUGGCGGCAUGCCUAACACAUGCAAGUCGAACGAACCCUUCGGGGUGAGUGGCGCACGGGUGCGUAACGCGUGGGAACCUGCCUUUAGGUUCGGAAUAACAGUUAGAAAUGACUGCUAAUACCGGAUAAUGUCUUCGGACCAAAGAUUUAUCGCCUUUAGAUGGGCCCGCGUUAGAUUAGAUAGUUGGUGGGGUAAUGGCCUACCAAGUCGACGAUCUAUAGCUGGUCUGAGAGGAUGAUCAGCCACACUGGGACUGAGACACGGCCCAGACUCCUACGGGAGGCAGCAGUGGGGAAU